GCAGAAACCAGACCCGCAUUACUGCUCUUAUCUUACCGCCCCAAUUCCCACACUCACUGCAUACAGACCAGCUUCUUACUUGGGUUUCUCAGCAAUUCCACCGGCACACAGGCUUUCUCCACACAAUUGCUAUCAUGCAUUUUGCCCCUACAUCACAGACAGCUAACAAGUGGCUUCAGAUCGCUUCCAAGCCAAGAGAACCACCUCUCCUUUCGGUUUAGAACUUCCUCAUUUACACACCCGCCUCACGAAAAGAAAGGGGACCACAUGAGUCAGAAAGCAGCUUGCCUUCAGAGAAGGGGCUCCCGUGGUCUCCCCUGGUGCUGCAGGAGGGGGGCAGAAGGAGCAUUCUCAACCCGCCCAGCCUGGUGCAUCCAGCUGGAAGAAGGGAGCCUUCAGCCACAGAAAUGAAGAAAACUGCCUGGACGGUGUGCUUAUUAGGGUGUGUUCACCCCUGCUGGCGUUCCUGGCCUUGUGGUGUCUCUGCAUGGGAGAGGAGAGUCUCAGGUCUGGAAGGAAAGAGAAAAAUUUAUUUCCUUUUAUUUUAUUUUUUAUUUUUUUAAAAGUUUUAUCCGAUUUCAUUUUAUAUUCUAUUUUAUUAUACAUUUUUUUUAAAUUUUUUAAUUUUUUUCUUUUUUUCUUUCCUUUCCCUUUUUUUCU